CUCCGUUAGACCCUCCCCCCAGGCCCGGCUCCCUCUGCGCAUGGCAGGCCCAGAUCAGCAGCUCUGAUCCAGAUUUCAGAGCAGGGGAUUGUGGAAGACAUAGAGACUUAGCUCCAGCCAAGCUCCGCUAUCUUCCUAGCAGAAAACCUUCAAGGAGCCUCACAUUUUCCAUCUGAAGCUAGAGAGAAUAACUGCCCUGCCUCACUCCCAUGUCAGAGCCCCACCACCCUGAGCAAGCGGCUUCCAUGUCAGGAAAGUGAGGUCAGACACUACCUUCUCCAGUGGGCCUGCUGGCAGCUCCCUGAGAAUCCUCUCUAUCCCCUCCUCACCCCUGCCUGGGCCACAGUCUGCCAGGUGGGAGAAUGAGCAGAUAUGCUCAUUGAGGAGGGGCCUCUUCAGCUCCUGGGACCCCAUGCCAGGUACUCCAAGAAACACAGGCAUCAAGUGAGCACGAGACCCUCAGGAACUAUGACUUAUAGCAAUUUGUAAGCAGAAUUGAAGCAUUUACCUUUUUCUCCCUAUCUGAUCCCUCCAGAAUUUGAAAACUCUUGAUGAAUGAUCCAAAAGACCCAGAGAGAAUUCAAAUUAAAGAACCAGACAUGCUCAGAUGUUCCUCUGCAUCAUCUCUAUAGUGGAGACUGAAUCCUAUUAAAAUACCGGAAACACAAGCACCCGGAAGAUCAAUUUCAUCUCUGCUGAAUGGGACCAUACAAGCAAUGCCACAGGAAACAGGAAUCAUGCCAUAGAAGAACAUCGCAACAGGAUCACCCAAACCUUGGCUGGCUUCAUACUCUACACACUGACUUCUCCAAAUGGACGAGUGAACCUCUAAUAGAUCUCAAGUUGCUGUACAGAAGAUGGUCCCCUAAAAGUACGUAAUGAAUGACCCCCACAUUCUUACCUUACUUGUUGGACUAUUAGACAGCCGGCUAUUUGUCUACAUUGGAUUUCACCUGAGGUUCCAGGCCCUAACCUUGGUUGGUUUACAGGCUUCUUCUCCUCAGUUCCCCAAGGAUUAAUAUCCAUUAUGGAGGGGAUACUAAAAUUUGGGCUGUGAUUUUGCUAAUACGUGUGGUUGUCUAUGUAAUUAUAAAAUGUGGACUUAAGUGUUCUUCCAAAACCAUUGAUCAGAAUACUAAAAUAUUAGUCACGCAGGACAUACCUUGCUCUCCUCUGCCUGGUACCCAAGAAUAUUUUUUUAAUAAAGAUUUUAUUUUUUUCCUUUUUCUCCCCAAAGCCCCCCCAGUACAUAGUUGUAUAUUCUUAGUUGUGGGUCCUUCUAGUUUGGCAUGUGGGACGCUGUCUCAUGUGGUUUAUAUGAGCAAUGCCAUGUCCGCACACAGGAUUUGAACCAACGAAACACUGGGGUGCCUGCAGCAGAGCACGCGAACUUAACCACUUGGCCACGGGGCCAGCCCCCCAAGAAUAUUUUUAAAGUAAAGGUAGAACAAUUUCAUUCCUCUGACCUGGAACUUCACCCUUUCACAGCAGGAAGCAGCUGGAGCGGUCUUCAUCCCCAUUCCCCAAGAUUGACGAAUGAUCAAAAGAGAAGGGGGAUUGAAACUGAAGAUGAAGGAGUUAAAAUUUCCCUGGAUUAGGGUGAAACUGUGCCUUGUACCCACAAGGUUAACAUGGGAAACAAAAUAACCAAAGUUUCUGAGCUUGCCUUGCAGAACAGCAGGAGGACCACUGAUAAGAGAGGAACUUGCUGACAGCCCCCUGCCUGACUAAGCAUCUUGGAGGAACAUUGAGAAGCUAAAAUGACUGAUUGCAAACUUUAGAUAUCAAAGACUAAAGACUAAAAAGCCACCACUUGAAACAUGUAGAACAGACAGUCACACCUGUGCAGAGGACACUUAGAACUUCAGCCCAGAAGGCCACAUGCCCCCCUCCCCUACCUAAAACCCCAAACAAAAACUCUUGCUUGUAGCUUUUUGGAAGUUCAAAAUUACAGUGUUAGCUGCCCAUUCCCCUUGCUCAGUGUUUUGCAAUA
rnacentral:lncRNA from 1 species